UUCCCAAGAUGACUCGGGGCUUGCUGGUGUCAGCGUGGCCAGACAGUCAGGACUGGAGCCUUCUGACAGCUCCAGGGAACCUGAGACCAUCAGCCCCAACACAGGCAGCCUGGUGCUACCAGGGCUGUCUCCCAGUUCUCCAGCACUGGAGACCGUCAGCCCCAGCCCCAGCGCCCAGCUGCCAUCUCCUGGCUCUUCAGCACCAGAGACCAGCAACCUCCAUACCAACCAACAGGCAACAUGGGAGCAGUCUGUACAAUCUCCCUCACAGGAGACGAGCAGCUCCAGCCCUGACAGUCAGAUCCUAAGUGCCCAUGACAGGAGCCGUGGCAGAGCACCGAGUGCUG